rnacentral:rRNA from 1 species
GUACACUCCUACGGGAGGCAGCAGUGGGGAAUCUUGCGCAAUGGGCGAAAGCCUGACGCAGCCAUGCCGCGUGAAUGAUGAAGGUCUUAGGAUUGUAAAAUUCUUUCACCGGGGACGCUAAUGACGGUACCCGGAGAAGAAGCCCCGGCUAACUUCGUGCCAGCAGCCGCGGUAAUACGAAGGGGGCUAGCGUUGCUCGGAAUUACUGGGCGUAAAGGGAGCGUAGGCGGACAUUUAAGUCAGGGGUGAAAUCCCGGGGCUCAACCUCGGAAUUGCCUUUGAUACUGGGUGUCUUGAGUAUGAGAGAGGUGUGUGGAACUCCGAGUGUAGAGGUGAAAUUCGUAGAUAUUCGGAAGAACACCAGUGGCGAAGGCGACACACUGGCUCAUUACUGACGCUGAGGCUCGAAAGCGUGGGGAGCAAACAGGAUUAGAUACCCCUGUAGUCCC